rnacentral:rRNA from 1 species
UACGUUCCCGGGCCUUGUACACACCGCCCGUCACGUCACGAAAGUCGGUAACACCCGAAGCCGGUGGCCCAACCCGUAAGGGAGGGAGCUGUCGAAGGUGGGACCAGCGAUUGGGACG